rnacentral:lncRNA from 1 species
AAAGGCUAUCUUUUUAUUUUAAAAGGAUUUAAACCAAUUUGUUUAACACAAUCAUAAACCAAAAUUUGAUUUAGUAAUUUGAGAUUAUUUUGGAAUUGUUUUCUUUACUUCCUUUGGAAACAAAGCAUAUUUUCUUAAUAACACAUUUUUAAAUUAUUUUUCUACUCAAAUAUAAAUUAGUUUUCAAAUAAAACUUUUGGAAUUUUAUUUCUCCGAAAAUCAAAAGGACCUAAACGUGGCUCGCUAGAUAUUUUGAAAUUUAUUUUUCUCGGACAAGCCAAACAAAACUAGGGCACAAAGCACACAAUAACAAAACAAAACACCCUUCAUUUUUCUUUAUUGAAGUUUUAAAUUCCACAUUUUUCUCAUUUUGUAAUCACAAUAAUUAAUAAAAAAAACUUGUAAUAUUUUAGAAAAAUUUUAAAUCCUUAUUUAAUUUAGUGUUUUCUUAUAACAAUCCAAAAUUAAAAAAAUUUUGGAGUUGUAUAGAGCGAGGAGACAAAACAAGAUGAUUCGUGGCGCGCGACGCUGCCCGGCCGCUCGGCUUAUAGGUAGACGGAGAGCGGGGAUCGAGGCGGACGGCGGGUUGCCCGUUGCCCUUCACGACUCGGACACGGAGACGGACGGGGGACAAGAUUGGCGGGAGCUUUGUCUUAGUCCAUCCAUCCAAAUCCAAGCUCCUGGUGAAAUGAAAAAAAUAAAGAAGCAAUGCUUCUAAAUAAAAAAACCCAGAAUGUAUAUAUAAAAGAAAAGAAUAUAAAGGAUGCCAGAGUCAAAUUAUAGUUUGACCACGUGCGAGGGGAGGCGCGGUGGGUCCAGGCUCAAGGAUCCACCUCUCCUUCAGAGUGGACUCUGUACUACCAGGGGGCCAUUUUCUCAAAAAAAAACACCAGGGAGCCAGGGCUCCUGCCCGAUACCGCAAGGGCCAGCAGGAGACUAACCGUGUGUUUGGUUGGAGAGCGGGGCGAGCCGGGUCGGAGCGAACUCAUUUCCGUGGCUGUUUGGUUGGAGGAUGGGAGGGUUGGGUUGGCUCCAGGGUGGAAUAUUCCUCUC